CUGAUCUUUGAAAUGAGUAGAGUUCCCAUGCCUGAACCUGUGCCUCCUCCAAGAGAGUGGCAUACCUGAAAGCCUUGCAAGCAAUCACAAUUCUCAGUCUCCUUACGAACGACAUCGAGAACAGCGUCGAUCAACUCAGCUCCCUCUGUGUAAUGACCUUUGGCCCAAUUAUUGCCGGCACCGGACUGGCCAAAGACGAAGUUAUCGGGUCUGAAGAUUUGUCCAUAAGGACCGGAUCUAAUACUAUCCAUGGUGCCAGGUUCAAGAUCCAUGAGAACAGCUCUGGGAACAUACCUUCCACCGGAGGCCUCAUUGUAAUACACAUUGAUCCUCUCAAGUUGAAGAUCAGAAGAGGCAUCUCCUUUGUAUCUUCCGGUAGGGUCGACUCCAUGCUCGUCGCAGAUGACUUCCCAGAAUUUGGAGCCAAUCUGGUUGCCGCAUUGGCCUCCCUGAAUGUGCAAGAUCUCUCUCAUUGAAUGAUGAAUAAGAAAGAGAUGAGUUGUGAGGGAGAAAGAGAGGAGUAUAUUUAGAUAGAUGGAGGGAGAAUCGGAGGCUAAGAUGGUAUAAAUAGAUGUCGUUUCAUGUGUGAUACAGCCAGCCAGGCAAGAGAGGGCAGAGAAACGGACAUUCCAACUAAUUAGUAA
rnacentral:misc_RNA from 1 species